rnacentral:lncRNA from 1 species
CCCAUUCCUUACAGAGAAGGAAAAUUAGCAAAGAGCUCGAAGAAGUAAUGGAGGUGGAAUUGAGCGGUAUCACAUUUAAUGCUUUGCAAUUCAGAGACACCGGUUGAACUUGGAUUUGUGCUAAGAGGUCCAUUAGAGAGAACAAUUCAUGUUACAUGUCAAAUUGUAAACUAGAGGUUUGCCCCCAUGAAACUAUAUAUCUGUUUGAAGAUUGGAGUUUGAACUCUUAUUGUCCUUCAAUGUUCAGAAACAAGCACACUAGUUUCUUUAUUAUCUGCUUCAAGAUUGAACAGACAAGCAACAGAAUUAAAAAAGAUACAGUAGAGAACUGUGCUAU